AGUCAACAUAACCAAAGGACGUGGAUAAGCUCGGGAAACUGAGGCUAAACCGCGAUAGAUCAAGAUACCUGGAAUGGUUUUUGAUCAAAAUCUAUAUGGCCUUUGGAUUGGACUGCGUCCGAUCAGGCUGUUGGUGAGGUAAUGGCCCACCAAACCUAUAACCGGUACGGGCUCUGAGAGGAGGAGCCCGGAGAUGGGUACUGAGAUAAGGACCCAGGCCCUAUGGGGCGCAGCAGGCGCGAAACCUCUGCAAUAGGCGAAAGCUUGACAGGGUUACUCUGAGUGACUUUCGUUAAGAAAGUCUUUUGACACCUCUAAAAAUGGUGUAGAAUAAGGGGUGGGCAAGUCUGGUGUCAGCCGCCGCGGUAAUACCAGCACCCCGAGUGGUCGGGACGAUUAUUGGGCCUAAAGCAUCCGUAGCCGGCCUUACAAGUCCUCCGUUAAAUCCAGCUGCUUAACAGAUGGGCUGCGGAGGAUACUAUAAGACUAGGAGGCAGGAGAGGCAAGCGGUACUCAGUGGGUAGGGGUAAAAUCCGUUGAUCCAUUGAAGACCACCAGUGGCGAAGGCGGCUUGCCAGAAUGCGCUCGACGGUGAGGGAUGAAAGCUGGGGGAGCAAACCGGAUUAGAUACCCGGGUAGUCCCAGCCGUAAACGAUGCAGACUCGGUGAUGGACUAGCUUUAUGCUGGUCCAGUGCCGCAGGGAAGCCGUUAAGUCUGCCGCCUGGGUAGUACGGUCGCAAGACUGAAACUUAA
rnacentral:rRNA from 1 species